UUUGCUGUGGUGUAGUUGGUAGCGCCUUGGUUUAGUAAUUAUAAGUCCCAGGUUCAAGUCCCGGUCGGGGUAAAA